ensembl:lncRNA
UGUUAAUGGAGGUUGUAUUGGAAAACUACUCAGAUUUUAUGCAAAAGGAAGAAAGUGAGACAACGGGGAAUGACACUUGGCUUUUGAAUCCUCAACUUUUGCCCCUCAUGCUUCUGUAGCAUGUCCUAUCCUGGUAUGUUCUGUCUGCUGCAGCCCAUGAGAGAGGUUUCAGGGGGAAGAAAGCUGGAAAUGGCAAGGUUCUGAAGCAAACACUGUGCAGGACAGCACGCAUCCUGACAUGAUCAAGUAACGCCAGCUGGAUGAGGCAGUUGAUGGUCUUAGAGAAUCCCAUCAAGGAGAAGCUGAAUGAUCCCUUUCUGGAGACUGGUUUAUGCCGC